rnacentral:lncRNA from 1 species
AUUGUGGAUUUUUUGGAACAGAAACGUAUGUUGAAUAAAGGUACAUGUUUUCAAGCGUAUAUUUAUCAUGCACUUAAAUCACUACCGUUAAAUUAUAAAACCUAUUACAAAUUUAAACCUAAGCUUACUAGCUUUUGCAAAAAGAUUUUUUUUUAACAGCCAUGUACUUUAACAUUUUAGCCUUAUAUAAUCUUAUCCGUUUGGUUCAUCGCACUUUAGCGUGCUAUACCAUUGUACUUUAGCAAACAAACAACCAUCGCACUUUAGCGUGAGACACCAUCAUACUUUAGCGUAGACCAUCGCACUUUAGCGUGAACAUCGCACUUUAGAGUACCAUCGC